CAGCCGCCGCGGUAAUACGUAGGUGGCGAGCGUUGUCCGGAAUCAUUGGGCGUAAAGGGAGCGCAGGCGGGCAAGUAAGUCUUUCUUAAAAGUUCGGGGCUCAACCCCGUGAUGGGAAAGAAACUACAUGUCUUGAGUACAGGAGAGGAAAGCGGAAUUCCCAGUGUAGCGGUGAAAUGCGUAGAUAUUGGGAGGAACACCAGUGGCGAAAGCGGCUCUCUGGCUUGUAACUGACGCUGAGGCUCGAAAGCGUGGGGAGCAAACAGGAUUAGAUACCCGCGUAGUCCCUGUCUCUUAUACA
rnacentral:rRNA from 1 species